UACGUAGGUGGCAAGCGUUGUCCGGAUUUAUUGGGUUUAAAGGGUGCGUAGGCGGUCCUUUAAGUCAGUGCUGAAAUACUCUAGCUUAACUAGAGGGGUGGCAUUGAUACUGGAGGACUUGAAUGAAGUCGAGGUAGGCGGAAUUGACGGUGUAGCGGUGAAAUGCGUAGAUAUACGGAGGAACACCAGCGGCGAAGGCGGGUAGCUGGGCCAACACUGACGCUGAUGUGCGAAAGCUAGGGGAGCAAACGGG
rnacentral:rRNA from 1 species